AACUGAUACUACCUGCGGGAACCUGCGGAGGGAUCAUUACAGAGUUGCAAAACUCCCUAAACCAUUGUGAACGUUACCUAAACCGUUGCUUCGGCGGGCGGCCCGGGUCCUUCCCGGCGCCCAUCGGCCCUCGCGGGCGCCCGCCGGAGGUAAACCAAACUAUUGCAUUGUAUGGCCUCUCUGAGUCUUCUGUACUGAAUAAGUCAAAACUUUUAACAACGGAUCUCUAGAUCGGAAGAG
rnacentral:misc_RNA from 1 species